rnacentral:rRNA from 1 species
UUAGGGGGUUUCCGCCCCUUAGUGCUGCAGCUAACGCAUUAAGCACUCCGCCUGGGGAGUACGACCGCAAGGUUGAAACUCAAAGGAAUUGACGGGGGCCCGCACAAGCGGUGGAGCAUGUGGUUUAAUUCGAAGCAACGCGAAGAACCUUACCAGGUCUUGACAUCCUUUGACCACUCUGGAGACAGAGCUUUCCCUUCGGGGACAAAGUGACAGGUGGUGCAUGGUUGUCGUCAGCUCGUGUCGUGAGAUGUUGGGUUAAGUCCCGCAACGAGCGCAACCCUUGAUUUUAGUUGCCAGCAUUUAGUUGGGCACUCUAAAGUGACUGCCGGUGCAAGCCGGAGGAAGGUGGGGAUGACGUCAAAUCAUCAUGCCCCUUAUGACCUGGGCUAC